CAGGGAGCAAAUAAAGAAGGUGUGGGGUGCAGAAAUGGAGACCUCAGCACAGGAGACAGGAAGAAAGAGAAUUCCUCGGGUAAUGGCUAAAGGAAUAUUGGGAGGACAGCUUUGCCAGAGAGCAACCAGACCCGAUCAGCAGGAAGUCAGAAGGCUCUAGGCGGGGAGGGAGUUUGUCCCCGGGGAAAAUAAAUGGGACUGACAAAUUAUCCAACAGGUUUGGUCGUGUGGAAAAUUAUACUGAGGGCAUGGAAAGUUUUAGUCAAUUGUUUUUAAAAAAACAAACCUAAGUUGAUGAAAACUGAGGUAGUGAUUAACAGGAAAAACAAAAAAGAAAAGAAGCAGGGUCAUAGUCGACUACUUGACCGAGGAAUAAAAUCUAGAUUCAUGGUCAUAAUUGUGGAAAUGUAGAAUAAGAAUUGAGAAAAACAAACAAACAAAAAAAGAUGUAAGUAUUUGGGGAGGAUUGGGGGAGGGGAAGAGGGAACGGAAGAAAAACUUCUUGUCUACCACAUUAAGACGUCGAUGGAUGUUUAAGAUGAUGACUCAAGCUAUCUAAGAAUAGUGUUAUUUACAAAUGGAGUGGUAAAGAAGAAACAGCUUUCAAGAGAAGAAGGGCCACCAGGAAGCACACCUUCAGGAAACACCAUUUCUGUUCUAGUCCAAAGGGCACCAUCCACCUGGACCAGAAUGUGAGAUGCCCUUUGGAGUUGCACAGAGGUCCUGCCUCUUUCCACCUGCACUGCUGUCACCCUGGCCCGGCCGCCACCCUCUCACUGUAUUUCUGCAGCUGAGACCUAGGCCUUAUGCAAGGGAAGGCCCAGGCCAGGAGGGGCCUCACAGCAAGAGUGAAGGAUGCCGCUUGGACAAAAGAGGAGGGUGGAAGACUGGAUGCCACUGAGAAGCCCUUCCAUGCCCAGGAGCUGGCGCGGCAUGAACUUUGGGAGGCCCCAGAGCCUCUGACCCCCCUUCUAAACCAGCACCGUAUUCUGAUUGGCUGUCUCUGCCUGCCUCGGUUUAUUCUUCUUACUGAUCGACCACCUCCUUCCAUCAUGUCAGAUCUCUGUUCCUACUGGGCCAGUCCCCCCACCUGCCACAGGGUCACCCGGGAUGGCCUGGGUUCUGCAAGGCCUCGACGGCUUGCCUCUUGCCACCAUCAGAUUCUUCCUCAUUAAACAAAUGAAUCACAAUCCUAAUUAAUUUGAGCAACAGAAUUUAUGUAACUACUCCCAGCAGGAUGUCUGCUCUCAGUCGGUAGCAAGAUUAAUUCCUCUCUCUGGGAAAUUCCAGCCAUGCUGGUCAAUAAAGCUUUAAUGAUGACUGAAAUCUCCCAUCUGUCUCUGCUCAGGGCAGGUAACCCCUGCUAACCAGACACCCAGUGGGUUUGAGGCAGUACCCCAGACACCGAGAAGGCAAGGACAAGAACUGCCUGGCCUAGAUGGGUCCUGAGCCAUGUAGAGCGCACAGUAGGUGUUCAGUUAAGGAUGGGGGACUGCCCAUUCCAGGGAUGUUCUGUAUCUCUUAAAGCCCACAGGAGGUGUUCGAUUCCUAUUUAUGGAAUGAAUGAAAGAGACUGUGUGUUGCUCAGGUCCUUCGUGAAACAGCCUCAAGCUCCUGAAUUGCAACCAAGCCCCUCUCUGGCUCUUUCCACCAUGUACUCCCAUUACUCCCCAUGACCAUACCCACAUCAGUCUUUUUCACUAUUUCGAACUUUCUGGACUCAGAGACUUGGCUCUUGAUGCUCCCUGCCCUUGAACUGUGCCAACCCUUUCUCUCCAAAACAGGACCCACGCUGGCUGCAUGGGAGGGAAGCGUAGUGAAGUGGAAAGUCUUCCGGAAUUAUUUCUAAUUCUGGCUCUGCCACUUACUCCUUGUACUUCACCUCUCUGUUCUUAACCUCGCCCUCCUAUGUGAACCACAUGAGGUACUUGGAAGAUUAAGUAAGAAAACAGUGCAAAUGUAUCGCCUGGUACUUGGCUCAUUUAAUGUCAGGCAAUGGUGACACAGCAGCACUCAAGACAAGAUUCCUGCUCCCAAGGAAUUUAAUUUCUUGGAGACAAUAAGCAAUAAAACAAAUAUGUAAGUUUAAUUAGGUGCUCAGAGAAAAUAAAAGAGAAAAAAUGUUAUGGAAAGUGACUGAGGGGACCUCUCUGAGGGGAUGGAGACCCAAAAGCCAGCAGGAAACAAAACAUGAGGAUCUGGGGGCACGGUGUUCCAGAAACAGGGAAAAGCAAUGGCAAAGGCUCUGGAGGUACAAGUGACCUUUGUUUGAUUAAUAGGCUGAGGUUCUGGAGGAUUGAAGAA